rnacentral:lncRNA from 1 species
AGGAAAUCUACAUAAAUGGAACUUCCUUCGCUCCACCUUUUUUGCUGUUUGUGUGUGUAUGUGUGUGUGUGUCUGUGUGUGUGUGUGAGAGAGAGAGAGAGAGAGAGCAAUCAUUUUGAAAUCACUUCACUCUCACACACACAACGUGCAGUCGCGCGGUGAGCGCUGGAGCGAACGAUCCCGAGGCAACCCAUAGUUGUGUAGCUGUACAGAGGGUGACUGACAGAGGACCAAAACGCUGGCAACUAAUGGACAUAUAGUAUAUUGUUUUGUUUUUUUACUCUGGAACCCUCUGCUACGGGAACAUAUUGAGGAUUAGCUUAGCAGCUGGUGAGAAUGUUCCAAACUAAGCACGGGAUGCUGCCAUAAAACUGGUCCGGAGACGUACUAUAUAUGGUUGUUUCCGUAUCCGAGGAGGGGACAACAAUCUGAUGUGCAGCGCUUCUGGUCACCAAGUUGUUUUCUGCCGGCAAUUAACGCACUCGAUUUGAUAUCAGGGGGACCGUCAUUGGAUUUGAAGGAAUAGGCUAACCGUCGUCGGCUGAUCAAGUGGAUUGUUUGUUGUUGGGGGUUUUUAUCACGGGGAGAGCGUUGUUCAUGUAUUGUGGAUUCCUACUUGUGGGGAGAUAUUGAGGGCUGAAGUGGCUUCGUUCAGGAGAGGCGAGGGAUCGAAGCUUCUAGCCCGGCUGAAGCACUCAGAACUGGGAUAGGCUACUGAGGAGUUCUCAUCCAUCCAAGACCGGUGCUGUGCCUGUCAAGUGGAGGGAUGGCGCUGAGGUGGGAUUCCACGCUGGUGUUGGCCGCCAUGCUUCUGGUUUGCUGUGGCGCCGAUCCCACUGACAUUCUCUACCGGAUGCUCGAGGAGCAGCCGCCCAACACGUUGAUCGGCAGCCUGGCAUCGGACGAGGGCCUGCCCGACUCAGGCCACCUGUACAAGCUGGAGGUGGGCGCCCCUUACCUGCGCGUGGAUGGCAAGACGGGAGACAUUUACACCACAGAGGUCCCCAUCGACCGUGAGACACUGCGGGACUGCCGCAACCUGCUCGAGGGCGACAAGUGCUUCCUGGAGUUCGAGGUGUCCAUCACGGACCUGAAGCAGGGCCAGGGACCGCGGCUGAUUGAGGGCCGCAUCGAGGUGCAGGACGUCAAUGACAACACACCCCAGUUCACCUCGCCCAUCCUCAUGCUGUCCAUCCCAGAGAACACACACAUCGGGGCACUCUUCUCCAUCCCCAUGGCCAGCGACAAGGACUCGGGCCACAACGGCGUAGCCGAGUACUCGCUUAGCGCCGGGCCUGACGCCGACCAGCUCUUCAACCUGCAGGUGGCCGAGGACACAGACGAGAAGCAGCCGCAGCUCAUCGUCAUGGGCAACCUGGACCGUGAGCAGAAAGACUCGUACGAUCUCAACAUCCGUGUGGUGGAUGGGGGCACACCGCCGCGAGCCAGCAGCGCCCUGCUGAGGGUGACCGUCACCGACCAGAACGACAACGCACCCAAGUUUGAGAGGAGCCACUAUGAGGCUGAGCUGGCUGAGAACAGCCCUGUGGGACACUCAGUCUUGCAGGUGAAAGCCAACGACGCUGACAUGGGUACCAACGGGGAGAUCGACUAUAGCCUGCACCAGGCCUCCGAUGCCGUCCAGAGGUUGCUACGCAUUGACCGCUCCACAGGGAUCAUCUACGUCAAGGGGCUGGUGGACCGCGAGGAGGAGAGCUUCCUCAAGUUCUUCGUGGUGGCCAAGGACCGCGGCCCCAACUCCAAGAACUCCAAAGUCCUGGUGACCAUCAACGUCAAGGACCAGAACGAUAAUGCACCCGCCAUCGAGAUCCGUGGCAUCGGCCUGGUCACCCACCACGACGGCGUGGCCAACAUCUCAGAGGACAUGCCCAUCGGCACGCCUGUGGCCCUGGUGCAGGUGUCGGAUCGUGAUGAAGGGGAAAAUGCUGUGGUCACCUGUGUGGUGGCCGGGGACGUCCCCUUCCAGCUGCGGCCCGCCAGCGAGUCAGCCAACGACCGCAAGAGGAAAUACUUCCUGCAGACCACGACCCUGCUAGACUACGAGCGCAUCAAGGACUACAGGAUUGAAAUAGUAGCGGUGGACUCCGGUAACCCUGCACUGUCCAGCACAAACUCCCUGAAGGUGCAAGUCACCGACAUGAAUGACAAUGCCCCUGUAUUCUCCCCCACCCUGUUUGAGGUGGACUUUGCAGAGGAGAAUCAGCCAGGUGAUAAGGUCCUGGAUGUGGUGGCCACGGACGCGGACAGUGGGUCCAACGCAGAGCUGACCUACAGCAUCAUCAUGGACUCGACCACUAAGGGGCUCUUUGAGAUCGACCCCAAAACGGGAGAGGUGCACGUGAGGAAUACGCUGGACCGUGAGCACAGAGAGCAGUACGAGUUCCACGUGGCAGCGGCCGAUAAGGGCUCGCCUAGCCUGAGGGGGACAGCCACGGUAGUGGUCAAGGUGCUGGACCGUAACGACAACGAACCCAAGUUCAUGUUGAGCGGCUACAGCUUCUCCGUUUUGGAGAACAUGCCUCCGCUCAGCCCUGUUGGCAUGGUGACGGUCAUCGAUGCAGAUAAGGGCGAGAACGCCAGGGUUCGGCUCUCGGUGGAGCCCGACAAUGGCAAGUUUGUCAUCCAGAAUGGCACAGGCACUAUCCUUUCCAGCAUCUCCUUUGACCGUGAGAAGGAGAGCACAUACACUUUCCGCCUCAAGGCUGUGGACGCCGGUGACCCUCCCAGGUCCUCCUACGUGGGUGUGACCAUCAACGUCUUGGACGAGAACGAUAACUCCCCCUACGUCACCAAGCCCUCUAACUCCUCCUACAAGUACCUCCCACCUCUCACGACCCCCGAGACACGCGUGGAAGUGGUGGAGGCUGAAGACAUCGACACAGGACCCAACGCCGAGCUGGUCUUCAGCAUUACCGGCGGGAACCCCUACGGACUGUUUCACAUCUCGCCCACCAAUGGGGAGAUAACCCUGGCCCAGGAGUUCACCCGCAAGCACAACGGGCUCCACCGUCUGGUGGUGAAGGUGAGCGACAAAGGCAAGCCACCACGCCACACCACCGCCCUGGUCCACAUCUUCGUCAACGAGACCAUGGGCAACAUCACCCUGAUUGAGUCUCUGGUGGGUCACAGCCUCUACACUCCUCUGGACAGAGACAUUGCCGGGGACCCCAACUACGCGCUGGCCCAGCGCAGCAAUAUCCUGUACGGCAGCCUAGCGGGCAUCGCCGGAGUCAUCCUGGUCAUCGUGGUGGUGGUGGUGAUCCGCCAUCGCAUGCAGAAGGACACCAAGAGCGGCUACCAGGCGGGCAAGAAGGAGAGUAAGGACCUGUACGCCCCCAAAGCAGGGCCCAAGAAUGGCAAGGGCAAAAAGAGCAAGAAGGGCAAGGUGCCCAAGCCCACCAAGCCACUGGAGGAGGAUGAAGAGGCCAGCCUCCAGAAGGGCCUCAACUUCAACCUCAUAAACGAUAGUGUCAAUGACAGUCCCCGGAUCCACCUGCCCCUCAACUACCCCCCGGGCAGCCCCGACCUGGGCAGACACUACCGCUCCAACUCCCCACUGCCCUCCAUCCAGCUGCAGCCCCAGUCCCCCUCUGCCUCCAAGAAGCACCAAGCCGUUCAGGACCUGCCUGCCACCAACACCUUUGUGGGCACAGGUGACAACAACUCUACAGGCUCCGAUCAAUAUUCGGAUUACAGCUACAAGGCAAACCCGCCGAAAUACAGCAACAAACAGCUCCCCCAUCGCCGAGUGACCUUCUCCACGGCCAAUCAGGCUCAAGACCUACAGGACCCCUCCCAGCACAGCUAUUACGACAGCGGAUUGGAGGAAUCGGAGACCCCCAGCUCCAAAUCAUCAUCGGGGCCCCGUAUUGGGCCCCUGGCCCUGCCUGAGGACCACUACGAGAGGACCACCCCGGACGGCAGUAUCGGAGAGAUGGAGCACCCGGAGAACGAUCUCAGGCCUCUGCCUGAUGUGGCCAUGACUGGGAAUUGCACCCAUGAGUGUACCGAGUUCGGCCACUCCGACGCCUGCUGGAUGCCUGGACAGCCCUCCCCCAAUCGUAAGAGCUCCACCAAGAACGCCCCCAAGCUCUCCACCUUCGUGCCUUACCUGGAGAGUGAGGGGCAGGACCACCUCAUGGCUAACGGCAGCCCCAAGCCCAUGGCAGAAGAGCGUGGGAGUGGUGGAGGUGGCAGCGGAGGCUCCAAGGUGGCUAACAUCCGCUUCCUUCCCCCUUACAGCAGUGCCUUCUCCGGGGGCAGCGACUCCGGCAAAGGCUGCGAGGAGAUCCCCCUGAGCCAGGCAGCCGAGUACCACUCUGCCACCACACCCACCAACCAGGGCUCCAAGAGAGAGAUUUACCUGUGAGGGCGAUGAUGUGGCCACCACCCCACCACCUUCACCCUUACCCGUAUGCCCACUGUUCCUGACCCCAUGCCCCCAAGCCUACCCCCUCACUGCCCCUGUGCCUAGCUGCUAUGUCGUCUGAGAAGUGCCAUAGCACCACCACCACCCUCCUUUUUAUAACCACCUCCCACCGUAUGAGGCUUUAGAAUCCACAAAACCUCCUAUUAAUUAAAUAAAGAGUACAAAUCAGUCAAAGCCAAACGAAGAAGAUACUUGGCGAGUGCAAAUGCUACUGAGAGAAUGUAAACUACACUAUCAUUUAAACAUUGUGAUAACUUAAUUGGAGACUAUUUAGUUAUGGUUGCGUGUUCAAGUUAUUUUUUUUGACGAUGGAUUUCGGUUGGAGUUCCGUUGGAACUGAAAACAACGAGGGUAGAAAAGUGUUCUUGUAAAAUAGACACAUGAAUACACAGUGAUAGGUCAUCUAUUUUAGGUGUUCUUUCGGUUUUUCUGUUUUGUUUCCUUUUUUUAGAAGUGAGUGUCAGUCUCAACUCUGGGACCUCAAAUUAAUAAGCAAUAAGGCACAGGGGGUUGUAGGAUAUGGCCAAUAUACCAUGGCUAAGGACUGUUAUUUGCACGACGCACCGCGGAGUGCCUGGAUACAACCAUUAGCCGUGGUAUAUUGGCCAUAUACCACAAACCCCUGAGGUGCCUUAUUGCUAUUAUAAACUGGUUACUAAAGUAAUUAGAGCAGUACAAUAAAUGUACCCAUGGUAUACGGUCUCAUAUACCACAGCUGUCAGCCAAUCAGCAUUCAGGGCUGGAACCACCCAGUUUAUAAUUAGAAUUAGAGCGGUGUUUCUCUUGCCUGACUACCCAAACUCCUUGCUCCGGCAAAAUGCUACACCACACCCACGGAUGUUAGUUUCUUCUCCGCAAUGAGUCAUGAUCCGAGUAUCUUGCGCAACGAUUUCUAGAAGAGGAAAUAAACAUUCUAGCCAUUCUGAUUGGUCCCAGAGACCAAUGGGUUGGGACAGAGCCAGAACACGUGGGUAAAGCGGCAGUUUGAAAAUUCGUCAUUGGCUUUGAUACUCUGAUUGGUUAGAGAUGAUCCAAUCACUGAUUACUUUGUUUUGUACACCACCCCUCAUUUUAGUCGACACCACAAACAACUUCAAUGAUGGCAGUCUCAGACUGAAGUAUGUAGCGAACUAUAGAGCAGCGGAAGAAUUCAGUUUGAGUCAUCAGGCAAGUCCUGCUCCUACUCAAGAGGACACAGCUGACUGAUCAUUUUGCCAACCUUUGCUCAACAUAAGACAUUAAAGUCCUCAACACAUUUUUCACAGCCAAGAGGUCUUUAUCAAUGUACAGAGCUGUAAAUACAAUGGACAUGAGUUUAAGCAUUUUAUUCAAUUUUUUUCCUUUGGCUGUAAAGAGCUUCAAUAAGAGCUGUACCUUUUUGAGUCAUUGUUGUUAAGAUCUCACAGUGAUGUGGAACCUUUGUUGGUUGGUUGUGUUAUCCAUGAUGCACCGGUGGACAAUACCAAGUGUAACACUGGCAGGAUUUAUAACCUGUGACACAUCACUGAACAUGUGAAGCUACAGUACAAAUGUGUGACUUUGUAUUCCUCAUCUUUACUAUGAUCUUGGACAAAAGAAAAACACUUGAGAAAAAAAAUGGUGCUGGUGUUAAAUGUGUUGGCUGAAGGGGAUGUCAAUGUCUACUGCUGUGCAUUUUCAAUCCCUUGCCACCCAAAUCUCAAACUCCUUGAUUGAGGUCUCACCGAAGGAUCAAUUCACACCAGGUAUCCAGUUGGAGAGCAACAAGAAACAGCUUGCUUUUAUUAAGGUGUAUCGUUCCAUGGUGCACGAACUCCAUAACUCUAACUCCCAUAUAUUGCAAUCUCUAGUUUCUAAGUUUGGCAAUUUAGUAGUCAUCUUUGUGAAAACUGAUGGUAUUUAUCACCUGCUGUUCCAAGUCAGCUCCCCACUGUAGCACGUCUGUUAGAGACCUGCUGUGGGUGAGGUAAAGGCUGUCCUGGUCCUGUGGUGUGACAGUGGUAGUAGUUGUAGAGUUGGGGAGGAUUCACAGCUCUCCUAUACACUAGCGCGCUAACCCCGCUAACCCCGCCAUGCAGAGGCAUUGCUCUAAUUGAACCUGGAGGCAUCGUUCAUUAGCAGUGAUCAUUUCCACAUCUCAAAACCGAGCAGGGUGUCCUGGCGGUUUGGAAGUUAAUUUGGAGUCUCAUAAUAAUAACUGCUGACAGUAAUGGGGAUUUCACCUGUGGCAAUGAGCAUCAGCCAUGAUUGGACUAAUGAAAACGCAUUGAGGAGAAAAAAGAGAGCGUGAAAAAGACCUCCAGACUACUAACACUACAGCUGGAGCUCUCGCACAACAUAAACACCACCGCAGGACACACUCAAAGAGACAUUGUUGUUGUUAUGGCUUGCUAGAAUACAAAACAUGAUUCAGGUGUGGUCAUUUAAGGGUCAUGACAUCAAAAAGCUAAGGUCACAAGGUCAGGCUAGUAUGUGUAUCUUAUGUUCCUGUAUCUGACCGUAGACUGCAUUUUUUUUAAUGCAUUUCUAGUGUGCUUUGAAUUACAGUUCACAUUCUACAAGUCCAUGGCUGACUUGAUUGUGCGUGCUUCAAUGCAUACCAUGAUAUAAAUGUGACUAAAUGGUUAAUCAUUGUAAAUAAUGUAUCAUUUAAAAAUCUCAGUCAUAGGUCUAUCAUGGUGACAAUCAAUCCCUGUGACCUUUGAAAAAGCGUGUAUUUUAUUUAAAGCCACAUAAUAAAGGGAUAGGCUACAUGAACAAAUAAGGCACGAAAGGAACGGUGGACAGCAUUGAAUCUGUUUUGAAUCUGUUUGAAAUCAACUGUAUUUCAGUUCUACUGGGCUAUGUCAACAUUGUACAAUAUAUUACAUUAAUUAAUGAAUACAAUUUUCAUCAUCACUCAUUCUAAUGAACACAAAGUAAUGUUCAACCAAAUCUUCCCAAUGACUACUCCACAGGAAGGUCCAUACACAGUAACAGAAGGAUCUUGGACCUCAAGUAACUGUUCAUUCAAAGUAUAUCUCAACAUUGAUUUCAUGUCCUUGUUUGAUAAUUUAUAGAUCAAACACUGGUCCGAUAUUAAGUCACUGGUUUCCCCUGUGGUGUUCCUUCACAGCAAACAAGCAAUUUUUUUCUCUCUGACAGGGCCUCUAGUCCCCUGGUUCUUCCUGACAGGGCCUCUAGUCCCCUGGUUCUCUCUGACAGGGCCUCUAGUCCCCUGGUUCUCCCUGACAGGGCCUCUAGUCCCCUGGUUCUCCCCGACAGGGCCUCUAGUCCCCUGGUUCUCCCUGACAGGGCCUCUAGUCCCCUGGUUCUCCCCGACAGGGCCUCUAGUCCCCUGGUUCUCCCUGACAGGGCCUCUAGUCCCCUGGUUCUCCCCGACAGGGCCUCUAGUCCCCUGGUUCUCCCUGACAGGGCCUCUAGUCCCCUGGUUCUCCCUGACAGGGCCUCUAGUCCCCUGGUAACCUCCCUUGCCCACCCAUGGACUGAUCAGGACCUCCAGCGCCGGAGGGAUAGACUCUAAGCCCUUCUGAGCUCCAUCUUCUGAGUUGACAUAGCUGAUAUACAGAGGGCUGAAGGAGAAGAGGGCUGAGGGGGAGGAGGGGGAGGGGGAGGAGGGGUCCUUGAACAACAAAUGGGGAGGGAGAUGGAGAUAGAGAUGGAGUGAGAGUAAAUGAUUUGUGAAGGGGGUAGGUCAUGUGGCACCAAUUAACCCCAGCUUUUUGUGGUGGUGUGGAGAAGCUGACCUUUGAAAUGCAAUGCUAUUUGCUUUCCUUUAACCUUUGAGGCUCAAUGUGAACACAGGGUGAAAUUUGAGAGGGGAUGAGGAGAGCAUGUGUGUGUGUGUGUGUGUGUGUGUGUGUGUGUGUGUGUGUGUGUGUGUGUGUGUGUGUGUGUGUGUGUGUGUGCACACGCUUGUAUGUAGCACACAGGUGUUUUUUCUGUAUUUGUAGCUUUAGAGGUGCUGCCUGCAUACUGUAAAAAGAUGGCUCCACCUAAGCUCUAUGGACUCUUCUGACAGUCUCACAAACUCUCACUCUCUCCAAGGGGAAUCACCUGGAGUUUAUCCCUAGAGAGGAGCUGUCACAGAUACUGGCAGGAGAAGACUGUGUGCGUGUGUGCGCGUGCAUGCGUACGAGAGAGUGUGCACGUGUGUCUAGCACCACUGCAGCAGCAUCCUAUUUUAUGCUGAGGCAAAGCAUGCCUAUGUUGAUUUGGUUGGUUUAUUGCUUUGUGUGUGCAUUUUAUUCAAUUGUAUUCCUUAAUUCAUGAAGCAUGUAGAACUCUUUACCUCAACGGAUCGGCUUAUACAGUAACUGGUCCGUGAAACAUGGAAUGCAGUCAGUGCAGAUAGGCGUAACAUGGAUGACAAGGGAUAUUAUUUGGCACACCUUUUUCACAUCCCUUUUGUGUUUUUGUGCUCAGUACUUUUCAAAUCCUCAUCAUGAUGAUAAUUCCACCUGGUUUGCUUUUAAGAGACAAUUUUACAGAUUCAGAGAAUUGGGUGUGCUCAUAAAUAUGGUUGGAUAUUAAUUAUAGUGAAUAGAAAAUGGAAUGUAGAUCAGUACUCGUAAUGUUAUCAAGGGAUUCCCUUGUUGGUCUAUAUAUCUUGAUUCCUAAGUAUUCAUUAAAGCAACCUAGAAUGAGUUUAGAGUGCUAAUUGAAAUCACUUUGCUUUCCAGUGUGUGACGUUUAGGUGUGUGUUUUGAAAAUGGCUCAGUCAAUGGUAUGUGGAGUGACAUUGAGCACUCAUUUAUAGGACCCAACCAUUAUAAUGACAUCACUGGGGUGGGCAGUUCAAUUCGAAGCCCACCUCCAAGGUCUAUCAAUUAUGUUAAAGCUCCAAUCACAUCACAUUAUGGUGUCAAAUCAUACCAGCAGAACAAACAAGACACAGUUAAUCAAGGUGCAAAUAUCAACUGGGGCUGGUCAAAGACAUAGGUAGGUGCUGGUUGUUCCUGAUGAGGAGAUUUAGUAGAGCAUGAAAAAGCCAAUUUUAUAAAUAUAUACAUUUUUGUUGUUGUCAACGUUGUUUUAUUAAUAGAAUAAAAACAACACAGCUAUAAACA